rnacentral:rRNA from 1 species
GACGAACGCUGGCGGCGUGCCUAAUACAUGCAAGUAGAACGCACAGUUUAUACCGUAGCUUGCUACACCAUAGACUGUGAGUUGCGAACGGGUGAGUAACGCGUAGGUAACCUGCCUGGUAGCGGGGGAUAACUAUUGGAAACGAUAGCUAAUACCGCAUAAUAUUAAUUAUUGCAUGAUAAUUAAUUGAAAGGUGCAAUUGCACCACUACCAGAUGGACCUGCGUUGUAUUAGCUAGUAGGUGAGGUAACGGCUCACCUAGGCGACGAUACAUAGCCGACCUGAGAGGGUGAUCGGCCACACUGGGACUGAGACACGGCCCAGACUCCUACGGGAGGCAGCAGUAGGGAAUCUUCGGCAAUAGACGAAAGUCUGACCGAGCAACGCCGCGUGAGGGAAGAAGGUUUUCGGAUCGUAAAGCUCUGUUGUAAGAGAAGAACGGGUGUGAGAGUGGAAAGUUCACACUGUGACGGUAUCUUACCAGAAAGGGACGGCUAACUACGUG